rnacentral:rRNA from 2 species
UGGGGAAUAUUGCACAAUGGAGGGAACUCUGAUGCAGCGACGCCGCGUGAACGAAGAAGGCUUUCGAGUCGUAAAGUUCUUUUAUAUGGGAAGAUAAUGACGGUACCAUAAGAAAAAGCCCCGGCUAACUACGUGCCAGCAGCCGCGGUAAUACGUAGGGGGCUAGCGUUGUCCGGAAUCACUGGGCGUAAAGGGUUCGCAGGCGGAGAUGCAAGUCAGGUGUAAAAGGCAGUAGCUUAACUACUGUAAGCAUUUGAAACUGCAUAUCUUGAGAAGAGUAGAGGUAAGUGGAAUUUUUAGUGUAGCGGUGAAAUGCGUAGAUAUUAAAAAGAAUACCGGUGGCGAAGGCGACUUACUGGGCUCAUUCUGACGCUGAGGAACGAAAGCGUGGGUAGCAAACAGG